UAUAUGAGCUCUCGUACAUCUUCCUUAGUUAUCCUUCGUCUCUCAAAUUCAAAUUCCAUCUUAGUAACUGGUUGAGCAGAAGGCUCUCUCUCAACUUUGGCCAAACCCUUAAAAUAUGGAUCAGCAAGAGCCUCUUCAGCAGUGGGUCGGUCCUUGGGUUCAAAUGCCAACAUUUUUUCCAACAAACGAAGUGCAAGGGGAUCUGC
rnacentral:misc_RNA from 1 species